UAAUUUACAGCAUCAUUCACUCUUACCUGACUCGUGCAGGAUUCUUGCUCUAUGUCGGGUCCACCCUUUCUCUGGCUGUGGUGCCUCCAUUGUCCUAACACUCUUCAGCAACCUGUCAAGGUCUUUAUAUGGUGGCCACCAGGAGUAGCCAUCUGCAUACCAGGACUUGGCGGCUGGUCCAGUCGUCCCUUCUCCCUCAAACUCCACGAUUAGAAAUCAACUGUUGUUGAGAGGUCAUCCACUAAAUGAAUGCCAAGUGUAGAGGAUGGCAGUGGAUAGUCAAAAAAGGAUUCCUGGUGUUUGAAGGUACUGUAAGCUACAUAAAUUUCAUCCCUGAAUGAAAUUAUGUUUUGCAGCUUAGCAACUUUGCCGCCAAUGCAAACCUGACUGUUUGCCUGAUCCAGUUUCAGAGUGUGAAGGCUUGUUCUUAACUCUUUAUAUUGUGUCGCCUCAUGAAAGGAUGCUGGUAGAGGACCAGUCGCAUGUGGUUUUUUGAGCAGAUGUGGCCUGGUUUUGUGAGUUUUUUUGCAGCAUCUUUGCAUUUCUGAGAAUCCUUUUAUUAUUUGACUCAGAGGGCAUGUUGGUUUCCUCAGAAGUCUUUUGAGUUUGUUUAAGUGAUUCUCGUACUUGAAAGCACUGAAGUUGUCAAGGACACCAUGCUUUUUCGCAUCUUCUGCAAGAUGUACAAGGCAGUGUGCAUUGUAGGACAAGAAUUGUGGACCAUACAGUUGACCAAAGUGAGUGACAAAGAGCACCAGUAUGUCAUUGGCAUAAUCACAGUAUUCUUCAAUCAAACUGUUGUUGCACAGGAUGAAGAUUCCCACAAAAAGUAGCAAGAAAUUUUUGUACACCUCUGUGUUAAGAAGAUCUUUCAUCAUGACAGGUCCGGUAUACAGUAAAAACUGCCUGAACUCUGUUGCCUUCCACCUAUCAAUUUCUCUCAGUGCCCUUGGUUUCCGUGCAAACUCCAUGGGCACAUUUCUCCGAGCAUUUAACAGUCUUUCUGACAAUGUGUUUAUUUGAAAUCCUGACAGCCUACAAGUCAGAGGACCCAUCUUCAGCCACAGGAGAAGAAGCCGUCUCAUGAUUCCGAGGCACACAAGGUGCAUGUAGUCGAGGGGGAAACCAGAGACCAUGUUUAGGGAUGUUUCUUCAAGAGGUGAUGGACCAUGAUGAUGAUCAGCAUCUGUCUUGUUUCUGAAACUCUCAUUAGUUCUUAAAGGCAUGUCAAUUCUUGGAAAUGUCAUUCUAUUUUCUAGGUACAAACCAUCCUGUGUGCAUUUUUCACAUCCGUGAUAGCCUGUGUGACCUUUAACAUUUUUCAGGAAUGCACGGGCAGGUGCAUCGCAGACCAUCGAAGAGAUGUCCCUAGGAUGGGCCAGAACUGUGUUGCGGAGCUCUUAUAGAGGGCCAACCAUCAAUGCUGACCUGAAGCUCCAACGUGUGAAUGUUGCGCAGAAUGUCAACAUUCUGAUGUAGCACCUCUGCAAUUGAAUUCAGCACUCCAAAAUGUUAAUACAGGCUUGAGCCCUGAUUCACUGUGGAUGUCUGAUGGCAAGUUGGAUGGAGUGAUUUUUACAAUGGCAACUCACAGACUCAAUGCGAACACCUUGUUGUAAAACGCUUGUUUAAUAUAUUGCUUCUCCACACAAAUCCACUUUUCCUUAAUUCUGCUGCACCAGCUGUGGAAACCUGACCUGGUGAGGACCCUCUCCUCCAUCCUCAACCAUUGAACCUCUUAUCACACUCGGACGAGGACAAACCAGCCUGUGAUCUAGACUCCUAGAUCCAACCCUGGUCCACGAUCAUUCCCACACCUGUGUCUCAUCACAGUCCAUCACCUGUGUCUGCACCCUGCCUACUGCUAAUAUUAUGGAUUUCUGUUCUGGAGAGAUAUGCCAUUCACAACAAUCUCUACACAAUAUCAAACUCAAAUAAUUUAGUCCUGCCUAACAGUUUUCCUGAUUUGUUACUGUUCACAAUGUAGCACAGUCUCGUCUUUGUGCAUUCAGUUGUUAAAAUAUGUCCUUAUUAUUUGAUUGUAUCUCAAGUUUAUUAUUUAAAAGCAAAUUCACAAUCUUUCACGAGAAGAGAUAAUAGGUGUGUCUGACUUGAAGCAGUGCUGUGCAGACCGAUCGAAGUAUGACAUCACAGUACCACGAGAGCAAUAAGACUGUAAGACAGCUUCUUAUGCUUUUGAAUCACUCUCAUGAUACUUUGUCAUACUUUAAGCAGUGCUGCGCAGACCAAUUGAAGUUGAACACGUCUAAAGUGUAAACUCUCACUGUCAGCUAUGGGACUUCUGCAGUAAUAUGACGAGCAGGUGUUCAGUGUCAUCAUCUUACUUUAUUGAAAUGCUAUAUUGACCUGGAUUCAGGUUUAAAACUGUUUAACUGGGAAAGAACAAAUUAAGUGUCAUUAAUGUUGUGAGGCUGCAUAACAUCUGGUCAGAAGAAUGUUUGUGUAGUCUGUUUCCUCCUGAGGUUUCUAUCUUGUAUAGAUAAAUAUCUAAAAAUGAGUGUCUUUGUAACCAUUCUCAAUAGAUACUGAAAGCUUU
ensembl:lncRNA